UGAAAGUUCUCUUUGAGGAAUAAUUUUUUGUUUAUAAAUACACUACAAAAUUCAUCCUUUCUAUCAACAAGAACAAAGGCAAAAGGGAAAGAUUGCAGCUACUGUAGCAACUCAAGUUGUCAACAUUCUAUCUACUCCGAUUGAAAAGAAAAAUGAAGAGGAAGAAGAACAGUGAAGAAGAGAGAGAAGAGAGAAAAGAAAGGAACUGAAACAUGAAAAUGCAAUAAUGAAUAAUGUGUAGAACCUUCCGUCAAUGUUCAGCCUAUAUCAAAGAAUAUCUAAUGUGUGUGUGUGUAAUUACAUGUGUACCCCUGUAACCUAUACAAAAUUGUACAUACAAAUUAAAUAACUAAUGCCCUUGGGCUGCUGCUAGUUUGGGCCGGUAGCUGCCUUGGGCUGAUGCUGAUGCUCACUAAUG
rnacentral:lncRNA from 1 species